rnacentral:rRNA from 1 species
UACGUAGGGUCCGAGCGUUGUCCGGAAUUAUUGGGCGUAAAGGGCUCGUAGGCGGUUUGUCGCGUCGGGAGUGAAAACUCAGGGCUCAACCCUGAGCGUGCUUCCGAUACGGGCAGACUAGAGGUAUGCAGGGGAGAACGGAAUUCCUGGUGUAGCGGUGGAAUGCGCAGAUAUCAGGAGGAACACCGGUGGCGAAGGCGGUUCUCUGGGCAUUACCUGACGCUGAGGCACGAAAGCGUGGGGAGCAAACAGG